rnacentral:rRNA from 1 species
UACAGAGGUCUCAAGCGUUAUCCGGAUUUACUGGGUUUAAAGGGUGCGUAGGUGGGUUGGUAAGUCAGUGGUGAAAUACUUUCGCUUAACGAAGGAACUGCCAUUGAUACUACCAGUCUUGAAUACAGUGGAGGUAGGCGGAAUGCGUCAUGUAGCGGUGAAAUGCUUAGAUAUGACGCAGAACACCAAUUGCGAAGGCAGCUUGCUACACUGUUAUUGACACUGAGGCACGAAAGCGUGGGGAUCAAACAGG